AGACGUCUACAUUAGAUACCCCUGUAGUCCCAGCCGUAAACUAUGCGCGUUAGGUGUAUCGGUGACCACGAGUCACCGAGGUGCCGAAGGGAAACCGUGAAACGUGCCGCCUGGGAAGUACGGUCGCAAGGCUGAAACUUAAAGGAAUUGGCGGGGGAGCACCACAACAGGUGGAGCCUGCGGUUUAAUUGGACUCAACGCCGGGAAGCUCACCGGAUAGGACAGCAGAAUGAUUGCCGGGCUGAAGACCCUGCAUGACUAGCUG
rnacentral:rRNA from 1 species